UGGGGAAUAUUGCACAAUGGGCGCAAGCCUGAUGCAGCAAUGCCGCGUGAGUGAAGACGGCCUUAGGGUUGUAAAACUCUUUCGCUAGGGGAAGAUAAUGACGGUACCUAGUAAAGAAGUCCCGGCUAACUCCGUGCCAGCAGCCGCGGUAAUACGGAGGGGGUUAGCGUUGUUCGGAAUUACUGGGCGUAAAGCGCACGUAGGCGGACCAGAAAGUUGGGGGUGAAAUCCCGGGGGCUCAACCCCGGAACUGCCUCCAAAACUAUGGUCUAGAGUUCGAGAGAGGUGAGUGGAAUUCCAAGUGUAGAGGUGAAAUUCGUAGAUAUUUGGAGGAACACCAGUGGCGAAGGCGGCUCACUGGCUCGAUACUGACGCUGAGGUGCGAAAGUGUGGGGAGCAAACAGGAUUAGAUACCCUGGUAGUCCACACCGUAAAACGAUGAAUGCCAGUCGUCGGGUAGCAUGCUAUUCGGUGACACACCUAACGGAUUAAGCAUUCCGCCUGGGGAGUACGGUCGCAAGAUUAAAA
rnacentral:rRNA from 1 species